AUACGUAGGGGGCGAGCGUUGUCCGGAAUGAUUGGGCGUAAAGGGCGCGUAGGCGGCGCGGUAAGUCUGGAGUGAAAGUCCUGCUUUCAAGGUGGGAAUUGCUUUGGAUACUGCCGCGCUUGAGUGCAGGAGAGGUUAUCGGAAUUCCCGGUGUAGCGGUGAAAUGCGUAGAGAUCGGGAGGAACACCAGUGGCGAAGGCGGGUAACUGGACUGCAACUGACGCUGAGGCGCGAAAGUGUGGGGAGCAAACAGGAUGAGAUACCCUGGUAGUCCACACUGUAAACGAUGAAUGCUAGGUGUAAGAGGUAUCGACCCCUUUUGUGCCGGAGUCAACACAAUAAGCAUUCCGCCUGGGGAGUACGGCCGCAAGGUUGAAACUCAAAUGAAUUGACGGGG
rnacentral:rRNA from 1 species